rnacentral:rRNA from 1 species
GACGAACGCUGGCGGCGUGCUUAACACAUGCAAGUCGAACGGAAAGGCCUGCUUUCCCUUGUGGAUUGCGGGUACUCGCGUGGCGAACGGGUGAGUAACACGUGAGUGAUCUGCCCCCAACUUGGGUAUAAGCCUGGGAAACUGGGUCUAAUUCCCGAUAGGACUGCAGGGUGGUGCCUGUGGUGGAACACGAUUUUCUAGUGGUUGGGGAUGAGCUCGCGGCCUAUCAGCUUGUUGGUGGGGUAAUGGCCUACCAAGGCGGCGACGGGUAGCCGGCCUGAGAGGGUGGACGGCCACAGUGGGACUGAGAUACGGCCCAGACUCCUACGGGAGGCAGCAGUGGGGAAUACUGCACAAUGGGCGGAAGCCUGAUGCAGCGACGCAGCGUGGGGGAUGACGGCCUUCGGGUGGUAAACUCCUUUCGACCGCGAGGAAGCCACCUGGUUGGAAGGGUGGUGACGGUAGUGGUAGAAGAAGCACCGGCUAACUACGUG